rnacentral:rRNA from 1 species
AUUGAACGCUGGCGGCAUGCCUAACACAUGCAAGUCGAGCGAGCGGCGGACGGGUGAGUAAUGUCUGGGAAACUUCCUGAUGGGGGGGGAUAACUACUGGAAACCGUAGCUAAUACCGCAUACCAUCAGAUCUGCCCAGAGGGGAUUAGCUAGUUGGUGGGGUAACGGCGCACCUAGGCGACGAUCCCUAGCUGGUCUGAGAGGAUGACCAGCCACACUGGAACUGAGACACGGUCCAGACUCCUACGGGAGGCAGCAGUGGGGAAUAUUGCACAAUGGGCGCAAGCCUGAGAGAGCCAUGCCGCGUGUGUGAAGAAGGCCUUCGGGUUGUAAAGCACUUUCAGCGGGGAGGCGUUACCCGCAGAAGAAGCACCGGCUAACUCCGUGCCAGCAGCCGCGGUAAUUC